AUUGAACGCUGGCGGCAGGCUUAACACAUGCAAGUCGAGCGGAGAGAGGUAGCUUGCUACUGAUCUUAGCGGCGGACGGGUGAGUAAUGCUUAGGAAUCUGCCUAUUAGUGGGGGACAACAUUUCGAAAGGAAUGCUAAUACCGCAUACGUCCUACGGGAGAAAGCAGGGGAUCUUCGGACCUUGCGCUAAUAGAUGAGCCUAAGUCGGAUUAGCUAGUUGGUGGGGUAAAGGCCUACCAAGGCGACGAUCUGUAGCGGGUCUGAGAGGAUGAUCCGCCACACUGGGACUGAGACACGGCCCAGACUCCUACGGGAGGUAGCAGUGGGGAAUAUUGGACAAUGGGCGCAAGCCUGAUCCAGCCAUGCCGCGUGUGUGAAGAAGGCCUUAUGGUUGUAAAGCACUUUAAGCGAGGAGGAGGCUACUUUAGAUAAUACCUAGAGAUAGUGGACGUUACUCGCAGAAUAAGCACCGGCUAACUCUGUGCCAGCAGCCGCGGUAACAC
rnacentral:rRNA from 1 species